rnacentral:rRNA from 1 species
UACGUAGGGGGCAAGCGUUGUCCGGAUUUAUUGGGCGUAAAGAGCGUGUAGGCGGUUUGGUAGGUCCGCUGUGAAAACUCGAGGCUCAACCUCGAGACGCCGGUGGAAACCAUCAGACUAGAGUCCGGAAGAGGAGAGUGGAAUUCCUGGUGUAGCGGUGAAAUGCGCAGAUAUCAGGAAGAACACCCGUGGCUAAGGCGGCUCUCUAGUACGGUACUGACGCUGAGACGCGGAAAGCGUGGGGAGCGAACAGG